UGAAAAGGUUUCUUCGUUUUCUCAGCAGAGCUAGCAGAGAAAGAGACAUACAGAGAGCGAUGGCUAGGAGAGCGCCAUGGUCACCUGAAGAUGCACAGCUUAAGAGUAUUGUAUUUAGAAAUAUGGGACUGGUCAUAGAGAAUUAGAGAUGUGGCAAGAGUCGCAGAACAAGAUUGCUCAACUGUCUCAGCAGGCGGAAUGGAUGAUUAUCAAGCAAUGUACGUCAUCAAUCAAAGUUGUAUCAUAUGUUUUGGCAUCCAUUCGACUGAUUGUUUCCAUCAGAUGGGAUUUUCAUGGCAUGAAAGCGAGGGAAGAGUGAAUGGGAUCCAAAGCCUCAAUUAACUUCAGUUUCAGGCUUUGACCAAGUCAACCCAAAGACCAUGAGGGAUAAAAGACACUUUACCAAUAGAACCAUGGCAAAUUGGUGGUCCAGUCAUUAAGGGAUUUGGUCGGGGCUCAAAAGUACUUGGGAUCCCUACAGGUUUGU